rnacentral:lncRNA from 1 species
CUCAACACAACAUUACCAACCUGCUACAACUCAACACAACAUUACCAACCUGCUACAACUAAAUACAACAUUAUCAACCUGCUACAACAUUAUCAACCUGUACAACUAAACACAACAUUAUCGACCUGCUACAACUAAACACAACAUUAUCGACCUGCUACACAGAGAGGAACCAAGCAUAAAUGUCUUUUUCCAUUGAUUGAAAAUAGCUGUCACUGCAGGGGGAUGUUUGUAGCCAUCUUUUCAUUUUAUUUUCUCCUUCAUGUGGGAACAUCUAUAAUAUUAGACCCAUCUCUUUAUUCUCUUGAAUGACCUGUACAGACCAGGGUCUGUACCGACCCCGAGCUGGACUGAGGAGGUUUUAUACAGACCAGGGUCUGUACCGACCCCGAGCUGGACUGAGGAGGUUUUAUACAGACCAGGGUCUGUACCGACCCCGAGCUGGACUGAGGAGGUUUUAUACAGACCAGGGUCUGUACCGACCCCGAGCUGGACUGAGGAGGUUUUAUACAGACCAGGGUCUGUACUGAGCUGGACUGAGGAGGUUUUAUACAGACCAGGGUCUGUGAUCAACCAAGAUGGACUGAGGAGGUUUUAUACAGACCAGGAUCUGUACCGACCCAGAACUGAACUGAGGAGGUUUUAUACAGACCAGGGUCUGUACCGACCCAGAGCUGGACUGAGGAGGUUUUAUACAGACCAGGGUCUGUACCGACCCAGAGCUGGACUGAGGAGGUUUUAUACAGACCAGGGUCUGUGAUCAACCAAGAUGGACUGAGGAGGUUUUAUACAGACCAGGGUCUGUACCGACCCAGAACUGGACUGAGGAGGUUUUAUACAGACCAGGGUCUGUACCGACCCCGAGCUGCACUGAGGAGGUUUUAUACAGACCAGGGUCUGUACCGACCCCGAGCUGGACUGAGGAGGUUUUAUACAGACCAGGGUCUGUACCGAGCUGGACUGAGGAGGUUUUAUACAGACCAGGGUCUGUAUCAACCCCGAGCUGGACUGAGGAGGUUUUAUACAGACCAGGGUCUGUACCGACCCCGAGCUGGACUGAGGAGGUUUUAUACAGACCAGGGUCUGUAUCGACCCAGAGCUGGACUGAGGGGUUUUAUACAGACCAGGGUCUGUACCGAGCUGGACUGAGGAGGUUUUAUACAGACCAGGAUCUGUACCGACCCAGAACUGGACUGAGGAGGUUUUAUACAGACCAGGGUCUGUAUCGACCCAGAGCUGGACUGAGGAGGUUUUAUACAGACCAGGGUCUGUACCGACCCAGAACUGGACUGAGGAGGUUUUAUACAGACCAGGGUCUGUACCGACCCAGAGCUGGACUGAGGAGGUUUUAUACAGACCAGGGUCUGUGAUCAACCAAGAUGGACUGAGGAGGUUUUAUACAGACCAGGGUCUGUAUCGACCCAGAGCUGGACUGAGGGGUUUUAUACAGACCAGGGUCUGUACCGAGCUGGACUGAGGAGGUUUUAUACAGACCAGGAUCUGUACCGACCCAGAACUGGACUGAGGAGGUUUUAUACAGACCAGGGUCUGUAUCGACCCAGAGCUGGACUGAGGAGGUUUUAUACAGACCAGGGUCUGUACCGACCCAGAACUGGACUGAGGAGGUUUUAUACAGACCAGGGUCUGUACCGACCCAGAGCUGGACUGAGGAGGUUUUAUACAGACCAGGGUCUGUGAUCAACCAAGAUGGACUGAGGAGGUUUUAUACAGACCAGGAUCUGUACCGAGCUGGACUGAGGAGGUUUUAUACAGACCAGGGUCUGUAUCGACCCAGAGCUGGACUGAGGGGUUUUAUACAGACCAGGGUCUGUACCGACCCAGAGCUGGACUGAGGAGGUUUUAUACAGACCAGGGUCUGUAUCGACCCCGAGCUGGACUGAGGAGGAUUUAUACAGACCAGGGUCUGUACCGAGCUGGACUGAGGGGUUUUAUACAGACCAGGGUCUGUACCGAGCUGGACUGAGGAGGUUUUAUACAGACCAGGGUCUGUACCGACCCAGAGCUGGACUGAGGAGGUUUUAUACAGACCAGGGUGUGUACCGAGCUGGACUGAGGAGGUUUUAUACAGACCAGGGUCUGUAUCAACCCCGAGCUGGACUGAGGAGGUUUGAUACAGACCAGGGUCUGUACCGACCCAGAGCUGGACUGAGGAGGUUCUAUACCUGGUCUGUGUUCAACCAAGAUGGAAGAGGAACGACUCAAACAUCCGAAUCUUAGUGCCAAGGUUACCGUGGAAACAGAGGAGGGGAACUGAUUUGUCUAAGUAACUAAUAUUAAAACAUUAAAAAAAUAAGUGUUAUGUAAAGUUGUUAUUGUCUAUUUGUUGGAGCGUAAACAGAGAAACACCAGAUGGGACGAUGUGCGUUGUUGUCCUGUCAGGAGUGGAUUGAUUGAUUGAUUGAUUGAUUGAUUGAUUGAUUGAUUGAUU